rnacentral:rRNA from 1 species
CAGUCGCCGCGGUAAUACAGAGGGUGCAAGCGUUAAUCGGAAUUACUGGGCGUAAAGCGCGCGUAGGUGGUUUGUUAAGUUGGAUGUGAAAGCCCCGGGCUCAACAUGGGAACUGCAUCCAAAACUGGCAAGCUAGAGUACGGUAGAGGGUGGUGGAAUUUCCUGUGUAGCGGUGAAAUGCGUAGAUAUAGGAAGGAACACCAGUGGCGAAGGCGACCACCUGGACUGAUACUGACACUGAGGUGCGAAAGCGUGGGGAGCAAACAGGAUUAGAUACCCCCGUAGUCCCUGUCUCUUAUAC